rnacentral:lncRNA from 1 species
CAGCUUUAUAAAUAGAGCUAAAAUUUUGUCCCCCAAAAGAACAAUGUGUCAUUCUGCUGUUGGUGGACUAGAAAAGCUCUCGCAGCCUCGUCUC